rnacentral:rRNA from 1 species
UAGUCCACGCCGUAAACGAUGAUAACUAGUUGUUUGUGAUACACAAUAAGCGACAAAGCGAAAGCAUUAAGUUAUCCACCUGGGGAGUACGUUGGCAACAAUGAAACUCAAAGGAAUUGACGGGGGCCCGCACAAGCGGUGGAGCAUGUGGUUUAAUUCGAUGAUACGCGAGGAACCUUACCAGGGCUUAAAUGUAAGUUGCAUGAUUUAGAGAUAGAUCUUUCUUCGGACUACUUACAAGGUGCUGCAUGGUUGUCGUCAGCUCGUGCCGUGAGGUGUCAGGUUAAGUCCUAUAACGAGCGCAACCCCUACCGUUAGUUGCCAGCAUGUUAUGAUGGGGACUCUAGCGGGACUGCCGGUGCAAACCGAGAGGAAGGUGGGGAUGACGUCAAAUCAUCACGGCCCUUACGUCCUGGGCUACACACGUGCUACAAUGGUCAGUACAGAGGGCAGCCACUACGCGAGUAGGAGCGAAUCCUUAAAACUGAUCUCAGUUCGGAUCGG